CUAAGUCAAAUGUAACCGACUUAUCAUUGAAUAACAGAAAUAGUAAUUUCAGUUUCUCUCUCUCUUAAUUUCUAUGAUGGUAUGAAGAGCUUGAUUCCUUGACGGUGCCAUGGCUGACACCUCUCCGUCAACUUCUCUGCAUCCCCCGACGCCGCCACCGGUUUCGACGUCGGCGCAGCCGUCGCAACCCGUCUACGCACAACCGAUCAACAUCGCACCACCAUUUCCGCUUCCCUUUGCGACUCCACACAGUUCGUUGUCACACUCCAUUACUGAAAAGCUUACUGACAAGAAUUUUUUGUUGUGGAAGCAAUAAAUCGAUCCAGUGCUCAUCGCGCAUCGUUCGCAUGUGUUCUUGGAGAAUCCUGAGAUUCCUCCUCGCUUUGCAACAGAAGAAGAUCGUGUUUCUGCUACUGUGAGCGAUUCCUAUCGCUAGUGGGAGCGACAAGAUGCUUUUCUUCGAUCGUGGCUUCAAUCCACGCUUUCUGCACCGAUUCUUACGAAGAUGAUUGGAUGUCAACAUUCGUAUCAACUCUGGGAGAAACUUCAUUCCAACAAUCACUCUUAGAUUCAGGCAAAAUCGCGACAAUUGCGAUCUGAAUUGCGCAAUUCAACACUUGGAAGUCGCACUACUGCUGAAUUUCUCUCUCAGAUCAAGUCAAUUUCUGAUUCUCUUUCUUCAGUUGGUGAUCCAGUGAGUUCAAGGGAACAACUGGAUGUCAUUUUGGAAGGUCUUCCAUCAGAGUAUGAAUCUUUUGUUACUCUGGUUAAUAUGAAUAGUAGAUUUCAGCUUAUGGAUCUUGAUGAAAUUGAGCCCUUGUUGCUGGCUCAUGAGGCUAGGGUUGAGAAAUCAAAGAAGGUCUCUUCUAAUUUCUCAGUGAAUCUCACACAUGCUGCUCCUACAUCUCAGUCUCAGUAGCAAUCAGAUUCUACUAAACCAGGUUCUUCUACAGAGAAUUUCACAAAUUCUCAGUCCUAUCCUACUGAUUACAAUCAAGAUAAUCGUGGUGACACUCGCAGUUAGAACUACAAUAAAAAUGGUGGCCGUGGUCGUGGCAAGAGUAGUACUUACUGCCAAGUAUGCAACAAAAGAGGAUACUCAGUUGCAAUCUGCUUUCACAGAUUCAAUGCUUCUUAUGUUCCAAGACCACCACAGCAAGAUUCCUCAUCCGGUGCACAAGGUCCUCAAGGUUCCUUUGUUCCUCAUUCUUCUUCACCAUCUUGGGGAUCUACUAGUCUUUGGUCAGAACAUUAUCCUGGAGCUUAUGGCAUGGUUUCUUGGUCCUCUGCAUCAUUUUCCUCACCUUACAUGAGAGCUCCUGCACCACAGUGGGCACCUGGACCUGCUUAUGGCUAUCAACAAUCAGCUUCCCCUGCACAAGCACCAAGACCACCCCCUGGCCAAGCUUUCGUCACACGUCCAGCACCCUCUGGUUUCACAGCAGCUUGGUUCCCAAAUUCUGGUGCUUCUCACCAUGUUACACCACAUGGAGGCAACAUUUAGUAUGCAGAUCCUUUUGAAGGCCCUGACCACAUCUUUGUUGGCAAUGGCCAAGGCUUGUCAGUCACAUCUUGUGGAGUCUCAUCAACUCCUUCUGCAAGGCCAUGUAGGAUCAGAUGGACUUUACAGCUUCCCUGGAUUACUAUCCUCUUCAAGUUCACUCCAACCUUCAUCUCUUCCCCUUGUUAAUACCAUUGUAGUUUCUCCUAAAUUUCAUAUUUGGCAUAGUAGACUAGGUCACCCUCAUAAAGAUGUUUUGCAUUCUGUUCUCACAUCUUGUAAUAUACACAUCCCUUUUAAAUACUUGAAUGAAUAUUGUUCUGCUUGUUGUCUAGGAAAGUCCCAUAGGUUGCCAACAACCCUUUCUACUAUUGUGUAUUCUUUUCCCUUAGAAUUGGUGUAUUGUGAUUUGUGGGAUCUGCUCCAUGUGUUUCUACUAAUGGAAAUAGAUAUUACUUGUCUUUUGUUGAUGCUUAUUCCAGGUUCACCUGGAUCUAUUUUUUAUAAACAAAAUCAGAAACCGUAACCAUUUGCCAGCAGUUUAAAUUGAUGGCUGAAUUGCAGUAUGGUCACAAAUUAAAAGCUGUACAAUAUGAUUGGGGGGGGUGCUUAUCAAAAAAAAAAAAAAUUGCGGGGGGAGAGUUUAGACCUCUCACUGCUUUUCUUAAGACUCAAGGUAUUAUCCAUCGAGUCAUUUUUCCUCACACACACCAUCAAAAUGGUGUUGUGGAGAGCAAACACAGACAUAUUGUGGAUCUGGGUUUAACCCUUUUAGCUCAUGUUUCAAUCCCUCUUGUUUUCUGGGAUCAUGCUUUGCUUGCUUCUCUUUUCCUUAUCAAUCCUCUUCCUUCUAAAUCCAUCAAUAAUUCAGUUCCCUGCACCUUACUGUUUAACAAAUCUCCUGAUUAUCAUUUCCUCAGGGUCUUUGGCUGUUCUUGUUAUCCUCUCACUAGGCCAUACAAUAGACACAAACUGGAUUUUAGAUCUCAGAAGUGCUUAUUUUUUUGGUACUCUCCUUCUCAUAAGGGCUAUAAAUGCUUAACACCUGAGGGAAAACUUCUAAUAUCUAGGGAUGUCCAAUUUAAUGAGGAUGAAUUUCCUUAUUCCACCCUUUUCAACCACAAACGACACCAACCUCAGAUCCUUUUUCCCCUGUUUCUUCCACAAUUCCCAUCUGUUUACCAUCUCUUAUCUCCCAACCUUCAUCCCCUCCUUCUCUUCAACCUUCACCAACCCCUACCUCACCACCCUCUAUCCCAAAUCCUAUACUUGAAACCACUUCUCCUCAGCCUAUCCUUGAUCCUGAACCUACAUCUGUAUCUGGUCCACUUUAGCCUAUACCUGCACCAUCUCAUAACAUUCAUCCUAUGGUUACCAGAUCCAAGAAAGGAAUCCAUAAACCAAAACUUCAACCUUCUGUCCUUUUAGCCCAUACAGAACCCACAAGUGUGAAGCAAGCUUUGGCCAGUCCUCACCGGCACAAAGCCAUGGAAGAAGAAUAUCAAGCCUUACUUAAAAAUAAGACAUGGUCUCUUGUUCCUCUACCUUCCAAUAGAACUUCUAUUGGUUGUAAGUGGGUUUUCAGAACUAAAGAGAAUCCAGAUGGUAGUAUCGACAAGUUUAAGGCUCGGUUGGUUGCUAAGGGCUUCCAUCAACAGCCAGGCUUUGAUUAUACUGAGACUUUUUUCUCCAGUGAUUAAACCUGUCACAAUUUGAGUUAUUUUGACUCUUGCUCUGACUUUUGGCUGGAAUUUGAAACAGAUCGAUGUCAAUAAUGCCUUUCUGAAUGGUUACCUCACUGAAGAGGUAUAUAUGGAUCAACCCUCUGGUUUUCAAGCAUCAGACAAGACAUUGGUUUGUAGGCUCCACAAGGCUUUGUAUGGCCUUAAACAGGCUCCUAGGGCCUGGUUUGGAAGGCUUCAUUCUACUCUUCUUUCUCUUGGUUUCAGAUCAAGCAAGUGUGAUCCAUCACUCUUUGCUUACCUUAGUGGAUCUAAUGUUUUCUACAUUCUGGUUUAUGUAGAUGAUAUAAUUCUUAAAGGGAAUUCUCCUACCCUAAUUCAGGCCAUUAUUGAUAAACUUGAUGCCCAAUUCUCUUUAAAGCAACUUGGUGAUCUCAACUAUUUUCUUGGCAUAGAGGUUUAGUCUCUGAAAAGUGGUUCUCUUCUUCUCACUCAACAGAAAUAUAUCAGGGAUCUUUUGGCCAAAACAAUGAUGACUGACUGCAAUCAUAUCUCUACUCCUAUGGUCAGCACCUCUAGGCUGUCCAAACAUCAAGGAAUUCCUUUUUCAGAUCCAACUCUGUACAGGUCUACAGUUGGAGCUUUGCAAUACCUCACCAUCACCAGACCAGAACUUAGUCUAUCAGUCAAUAAGGUAUGUCAGUUCAUGGCACAUCCUUUAGACACUCAUAGGACUGUUGUCAAAAGAAUACUCUGGUAUAUCAAGGGCACUGCUUCUUUUGGCCUUGUUCUGCAGCCUGCCAAAGGUCUUCCUCUCACCCUUAAAGGGUUUUCUGAUUGGGCAACAGAUGUUGAUGGCAGAAUAUCUGUAUCUGGUGCUACUUUGUUUCUGGGUCCAAAUCUUAUUUCUUGGUGGUCCAAAAAGCAGCAUGUUGUAGCCUGCAACAGCACUGAGGCUGAAUACCGAAGCUUGGCUCAACUUUCUGCAGAAAAUACUUUGGGUGCAAUCUCUUCUCCAGGACCUAGCAGUUCCCCUUGGGGUUCCUCUCUUGUUUUGUGAUAACAUUUAUGCAGUUUCUGUGGCUCACAAUCCUACUCUACAUGCUAAGACCAAGCAUGUUGAGCUUGAUGUCUUUUUUGUUAGGGAAAAAGUUCUCAGCAACCAGUUUAAGGUUCAGCAUAUUCCUGCCCAGUAUCAAUUAGCAUAUGCAUUAACCCAGUCUCUCCCUAGAACUAUGUUCCUAGAAAUUAGGACCAAGCUCACCGUGUGUGACCACCCUAGAUGAGCUUGAGGAGAGGGUAAUACAGUAUAUACUUAGAUAUACAUAAUACAGAGUAACACUUGUAUUGUCAAGUACCUUGAGUACUAUAUAUAACAACUAUGAGCUGUCAAAUGUAACCGACUUAUCAUUGAAUAACAGAAAUAGUUAUUUCAGUUUC